UNACUUUGGNUGGNAACGCUGGCGGCAGGUCCUAAGACAUGCAGUCGAGCGGUAACAGAACUAGCUUGCUAGUUGCUGACGAGCGGCGGACGGGUGCGUAACACGUAGGAAUCUACCCAGUAGCGGGGGAUAGCCCGGAGAAAUCCGGAUUAAUACCGCAUACGCCCUACGGGGGAAAGCAGGGGCUCUUGUUCUUCUAUGAAGAGCGGACCUUGCACUAUUGGAUGAGCCUGCGUCGGAUUAGCUAGUUGGUGGGGUAAAGGCCUACCAAGGCCACGAUCCGUAGCUGGUCUGAGAGGAUGAUCAGCCACACUGGGACUGGGACACGGCCCAGACUCCUACGGGAGGCAGCAGUGGGGAAUAUUGCACAAUGGGCGAAAGCCUGAUGCAGCCAUGCCGCGUGUGUGAAGAAGGCUCUAGGGUUGUAAAGCACUUUCAGCGAGGAGGAAAGGUUAAAGAUUAAUACUCUUUAGCUGUGACGUCACUCGCAGAAGAAGCACCGGCUAACUCCGUGCCAGCAGCCGCGGUAAUACGGAGGGUGCAAGCGCCUAAUCGGAAUUACUGGGCGUAAAGCCGUGCGUAGGCGGCUGCCUAAGUUGGAUGUGAAAGCCCCCGGGCUCAACCUGGGAACUGCAUCCAAAACUGGGCAGCUUCGAGUGCGGGAACGGAGUG
rnacentral:rRNA from 1 species